rnacentral:rRNA from 1 species
UACAGAGGUCCCGAGCGUUGUUCGGAUUUACUGGGCGUAAAGGGCGCGUAGGCGGUCGUGACAAGUCACUUGUGAAAUCUCCGGGCUUAACUCGGAACGGUCAAGUGAUACUGUCGGACUAGAGUACAGAAGGGGCAACUGGAAUUCUCGGUGUAGCGGUGAAAUGCGUAGAUAUCGAGAGGAACACCUGCGGCGAAGGCGGGUUGCUGGGCUGAUACUGACGCUGAGGCGCGAAAGCCAGGGGAGCGAACGGG